rnacentral:lncRNA from 1 species
GUGAGAAGCAGAGGGGUGGAAAGAAAGUAGAUCAUGAGAAAGAGCUUGGCUGAAGUAAAUGAGGGCUGUCCCUGAAACCUUGCGGCAGCACAGCCCAGGUUUUGACAUAAUUUGGUGUCAGAAGUAGAAUUGAAGCUGGUUAGUUGGACAGAUGGACAACCCCUGAAAUUGAGUGAAUUGCCUGUGCUGAGCCCUUUUGAGCUCUCCACCUCCGUGGCUGACCUUUUCUACCCUGCUGAAUCUCCUCUCAGAUUCCUGGACUCCUUUUUGGGCUAAGGAAUUGGGUUACUUUGUGCCCCGCCUCUGCCCGCAGGGAAGACCAUUCCUGGAUUUACCCUUCGAGGGAGCAGUAGAAGCGGAUCUGGCAUGAAGUGGGGGACACAACUCCCCUUAUGCUCCCAGCACAUCUCCUGGGCUGAGGCCAUCUCAGAUUGGAAGACCAGCUUUCCAAAGCAAGUCUCCUCCACAUCAUGAAGGAGAAAAAGAGUAGCAGAUAAGAAAAAAACCAACUCGCUGAAACACUGAAACUCUCUCUGCUUGUGAGAUCAAGAAAAGCCGGCUGAAAUCAGUUGGAACCAAGGUGGCCAACUGGAGCUUUUGCAAAACGAGGUUGCUGACGUCAGAGCCUGAAUUUCCACUGCAGGUUUCAUUCUAACUCCCUUUGAAUUUGCACAUGGGACCCAUGAGGUAGCAUGGAGACAUAACUGCGCAUGCCCAAGACUUUUCAGCCCUCCCCUUUCCGUCCACCAAUCACCUUCUGAUCCCAGAAUCCACCCUCUGAACGUUUUCUAGUAAAAUACUGCCUUGAAGCCAGCCUGGGGAAACAGAUUUGAGCUUGACUCUUGUCUCCUUGUGAGUUGACUUUUGACAUAAAGCUUUUCUUUUUUUAAAACCCUGGUGUCAUAGUACUGGUUUCCAGCACAUUGGGCAGUGAGUCCCUUUUGCUGGAUAACAGUGCUGAUGGAGAUGAUGGGGAAGCCAGAGCCCCCAGGCUACACCUUGGUGCUCUGCUAACUGGACCAAGGUCUGACUCCAAAGUCAGAGGGCAAUUCGAGAUUCUUCUCUUCGUGCCACCCAUAGGAUAUCACAUUAAACUUUAGCCUAAUGCUGAGGGAAUGUGGGAAUUUGCCCAAUAGUAAUGAUGCCCAGUGGAAACUAGGUUUCUCCUGCGGAUUACCCUCUGCCCACACAUUCCCCACCCUGUGCCUUGCGCAUCCAGUGGCUACCAGUGUAUCCCACCUAAUCCAACAUCUUGCUGCAAUCCUGAAAGGGCUUCUAGACUGGCCUCCAUCACUAAACCAACAGGAAUCCUCCACUAUGAACCAGCAGGGUUCUGCGUUGUUGUUGCUAUGGUGACAGUUAUCCAAGAGUACAUCAAGAGAAAAAUAGCCACGUUUUAGCAGGUGCACAGUCCUAGAACAACAUACUGGUACUGGCUCAUAAAGUUUUCUAGUUUUCCCUAAGGCUUUUAAAAUUAGGAACCAAUAUGUAACCGCUCGGAACACAAUUUCCCUAGCAACCAGAGAAAUGCCAGUCCCUCCUGUUAGGGAGGUUAAAAAUAACAUUGCAUGUGCCACUGUAACCAACUGGAAUCUCCAAAUUCCCUUCUGUAACAGCCCCCUGGUCACAGCAGAUGUCCAACUCCCCAAAUCUCAUCUAUCAUCAACAUAGCCUUUCCAAGGCAUGAAUGCAAUUCACCUUCAUAGAAUUACUCAGGUCUCUUUCUGCCUACAGAAAAAAAGAGUCAUAGUCAGCUUGGUCUGCAUAAGCAGGGGCUACCCUCCUUUCCUGCCCCUUUCCCACAUAGCACCCAUGUUCUAGGCAUAAGCAUUUCCUCAAAAUUCUCUGACCAGACCAUAUGCCUGCCUGCCUUCUUUCAUUCUUUCUCUUCUCUUCCUUCCUUUUCUUUUUCUUCCUUCCUUCCUUCCUUCUUUCCUUUCUUCCUCCCUCCCUCUCUCCUUUUUCCCUUCUUUCCUUUCCUCCUUCUUUCCUCCCUCCCUCCCUUUUUCCUUCCUUCCUUUCCUUUCCUUCCUCCCUUUCUUCCUUUCAAUGUGAUUAGCAUACAAAAACAUAAAAAUAUCUUAAGUGAUCAGUUCAAAGAAUUUUGACAAUUGUGUAUGCAAGGCAAAAACACGGAACAUUUCUACCACUCUAGAAAGUUCUCUCAUGCACCUUUUCAGUCAGUCUACCACCCUUCAACCCCAAGGCAACCAUUUUCUGACAUCAAUUGCCACAGAUUAGUUUUGUCUGUUUAUAAACUUCAUAAAUGGGAUCAAACUGAAUGUAUUAUUUUGCUUAUUUCAUUGUGUGACUAUGCCACAUUGUAAAAAUCUAUUCUUCUGUUGAUGAACAUUUGGUCUGUUUCCAGUUUGGGAUUAUCUGUUUCCAGUUUGGGAUAAGGCUCUUACGAAUAUUUUUGUGCUAGCCUUUUUGUGGACACUUGUUUUUAUAUAUUUUGGGCAAAUAUCUAGGAGUGGAAUUGCUAGGUCACAAGGUAGUUGUAUGGUUAAAUUUACUAGAAACCAUCACACAGUUCUCCAAAGUGGUUAUGCCUUUUGACUUUUUCAUCAUCAUCUAUGAGAAUUCCAGUUGUUCCACAUCAUUACUAAAAUUUAGUAUUGUCUGUUUUUUUCUUUUAUUUUAGCCAUUCUAGUGUGUGAAUAGUAGAAUCUCAUUGAGGCUUUAAUUUGCAUUUUCCUGAUGACUAAUAAUGUGAGCAUAUUGUCACGUGUUUGUUGUUCAUUUGUACAUGUUCUUU